GGGGAGGUACCUCAGAUUUCGAAAUAUUCAAAAUGCCAUCAGGACACCGCCCACCCCCAAAUUAAUCUUACAGUGAUGGAGUUGAAGCAUGGGGGCUUAUGGGUGGUCCAGGAAGCCUCCAGGGAUAAAUAGGGAUUGGUCUGGAAGUGUUGAAACUGAGAUGGGCCAAUGAGGAGGCUGGAGAUAAGGAGGGCAGGACAGAUUUGGGGUAGCAAGAAGUCCUGUGCUCUGCUCUGAGGCCUGCCUUCAGGAGGCAGGACUGUUGGGACUUGGACUGGGAUACAAGGAAGGCCCAUGGCUGGGGAGGAUGGAUGUUGAGAAGUCUAUGCUGCUGGUCACCACUCACUGCUCCUUAAGCAUCUCUAAGACGCCAGGCUGGAUGUGGAGAGGAGUGGAGGGGUUGUAGACAGCAGCCCCCAGCCCUCUUUGGCACUUGCCACUGUGCGGCACUGUGGGACCCCAGCCUGUAAAUGAUGCCCGAUGCCAGUCCUCCUCAGCUUGGACGGUGGGGGGACCCGGGUGGGGUCAUGACAGGACACCACUGCCUGGGGGUGAGAAUGGAGGAGGCCCAGCUGUCAGCUGGAACCCAUCAGAAGCCGAACCAAGCCCUGGCAGCUGGGCCUGGGCUGGGGACUGACAGAGAUGAACAAGUGGACGUGGCACAGUUUUUGGUGGCCUUUGAGGACAUGCACAUGGCCUCCAUGGGUAGUUGACCAGAGUUCUCCCCGGGAAGAAUAAGAUUCCUUUCGACUCUGCUGAGGAAGGAAGCCUCAUAGGAGAGAUGGUGCCAUAGUGAGGUCUUGAAGGAUGAUGGUAAACUCAAUAGGUAGUGAUGGGAGAAGGCCUGGAGGUAAGAAGGCAAAAACCAUGCUGGGUGAACUCUGCAAGGAGCAGAAGACUUAUGUGCAUGGGAAAUAAAGUUGGAAAAUGGGUUCAAGUUGAAUGAGCACAGAUGAACACUGAAAUACAACUCUUUCCUAUGGGUAAUGGGGAGCCACCGAUGGUUGUUGAGCAAGAGUAUCCUGCAGGGAGAGGAAACUGAUGCGUUACUUUAGUUUCUCUCCAUAACAGCAUCAGUGGCAGGCAGGCCGGGAACCUUCCAUGGUCUAGGUUAUAAAAUCCACUGAGUGAGGGAGCUAGGAGAAUGAGAAGGGGAGAAGAGGAGGGGUGAGGAGGAAAUGAGGGAGCAGGAAGGUUGAGUUGGGGGAAGAAUAGAGGAGAGCAAGAAAAGAGAUACCAUAAUAGAAGGAGAAGUUAUAGGCUUAAAGAGAAAUCAGGCACUAGGGAAAUGUCCAGAGAUCUACAAGGAUGAUACCAACUAACCAUCUAAGCAACAGUGGAGAGGCUUCCUUAAAUGCCCUUCUCUGAUAAUGAGAUUGAUGACUACUUUAUAUGCCAUCCUAGAGCCUUCAUCCAACAGCUGAUGGAAGCAGAAGCAGACACCCACAGCUAAACACUGAACUGAACUGGAACCCAGUUGCAGAGAGGGAGGAGUGAUGAGCAAAGAGGUCAAGACCAGGCUGGUGAAACCCACAGAAACAGCUGACCUGAACAAGGGGGAGCUCAUGAACCCCAGACUGAUAGCUGGGAAACCAGCAUAGGACUAAUCCAGAUUCCAUGAACAUGGUUAUCAUUCAGGAGGCCUCAGAAAUCUAUGGGUCCUCUGGUAGUAGAUCAGUAUUUAUCCCUAGCAUACGAAUGAGUUUUGGGAACCCAUUCCACAUAGUGGGAUACUCUCUCAGCCUAGACACAGGGGGGAGGACCCAGGCCCUAUCCCAAAGGAUAUGACAGACUCUGAAGAGCCUCCAUGGAAGGCCUCACCCUCCCUCAGGAGCAGAAAGGGUAUGGGAUAGGGAG
rnacentral:lncRNA from 1 species